rnacentral:rRNA from 1 species
UACGUAGGUUGCGAGCGUUGUCCGGAUUUACUGGGCGUAAAGCGCGCGCAGGUGGUCCUGAAAGUCGAGCGUGAAAGCUCCCGGCCCAACUGGGAGAGGCCGUUCGAAACUUCAGGACUUGAAGGCGGGAGAGGCAAAUGGAAUUUCCGGUGUAGCGGUAAAAUGCGUAGAUACCGGAAGGAACACCAGUGGCGAAAGCGAUUUGCUGGCCCGCCCUUGACACUCAGGCGCGAAAGCUAGGGGAGCGACCGGG